GGGGAUAUGGCGAAAUCGGUAGACGCUACGGACUUUAUUAUAUUAUUAUGAAUAUGAAAAAAUAAAAGAAUUUUUACGAAUCAAUUUCAAGUAUUCAUUUAUCAAAUCAUUCACUCCAUAGUCUGAUAGAUCUUUUGAAGAGCUGAUUAAUCGGAUAAGAAUAAAGAUAGAGUCCCAUUCUACGUGUCAAUACUGACAAGAAUGAAAUUUAUAGUAAGAGGAAAAUCCGUCGACUUUAAAAAUCGUGAGGGUUCAAGUCCCUCUAUCCCCA
rnacentral:tRNA from 1 species